GUGUUGGUAGCUUAGUCGGUAAAGCGCUCGUCUAGCAUACAAGAGUCCUGGGUUCAAAUCUCAGUCGAGCACU
rnacentral:tRNA from 1 species